UCUAACUUGCAAUGCCUCGAG
rnacentral:piRNA from 1 species